AGCAAUGGUUAAGGGUACAGAGGUUGCUACAUGCCUGAGCGAGUGGUAGCCCUCUGCCCGGCAUCAAUAGCCUCUGUGCUCGUCUUACCUCUGCAUCUUCAGUUCAUUAAACACCCCUCAACACUUGGCGCCCAGAACGUGGGACCUUAAGGUAAAGAAAAGUUCUGGGUUCCUGAGAGGUGUCUUAAGCUGAGACAUGGGAACCAAAAGGAAGUUCUACUUAAGUGACCUGACCAAGGAUUUCUCAGAGAUGACGUUGACGGGGCCUCCUAUCCGCAAAGCUCUACGGUCAAUGCAACAUUCAUCUGUGCCAACCUGGGGUCAGGUGAAGAAGCUUACCCAAGAGGGAGAACAACUGGUUCCGCAUCAUGGUAAAGAAGUGACACGAUCUACUUUGUUCCUUGCUAUGCUUGCACUAAUAACCACUCAGGAAUAAGAGCCCACAGAAUUUUGGAAGAAGAUGACAUUCUCUGAAGGAAUGGAUAGAAGCCAAGAAGUUGAUGAACUUGAGGAUAUGCUACACUAAAAUAUAGCACCUUGGCAUAUUAAAUAUCUUAAGCUGGAGGAGUUUAAGAAAAUUGUAGAAGUGGGAUUCCAUGUGCAGAUAAUUGCAAGUUGAAGUAAGUCACUCUUCCCCAUACCUGCCUUUCUUCUCUGAAAAAAACCAUGAAACUCACCUGACAGGUACCUUCCUUGUACCAGGAAGAAGGAAGAAAUUAUCACCAAAGACAGGGAAUUUGGGACCAAGAAGUAACAAGCUUUAACCAAGCUUGUUAAACUAAACUUUAUCUUCUAGUUACUUCUUCACCAUUCACUAUCCCUAACUCGAACUGAUCCAUUUUGCCAAUAUUCAAAAAUUUUUAUUGUUUAUUUGUGUAAAAGAAGAUUUUUGCCCUGGCCCACCUCUUCAGGUCUUUAUUCUCUUGUGAAGGAUUUCAGAUGCAUGUAAAAAUUCAG